UACGAAGGGGGCUAGCGUUGUUCGGAAUUACUGGCGUAAAGCGCACGUAGGCGGGUUGUUAAGUCAGGGGUGAAAUCCUGGAGCUCAACUCCAGAACUGCCUUUGAUACUGGCAACCUAGAGACUGGAAGAGGUUAGUGGAAUUCCCAGUGUAGCGGUGAAAUGCGUAGAUAUCGGAAGGAACACCUGUGGCGAAAGCGGCUCACUGGACCAUUACUGACGCUGAUGUACGAAAGCUAGGGGAGCAACAGGG
rnacentral:rRNA from 1 species